rnacentral:misc_RNA from 1 species
GAUGAAGAACGUAGCGAAAUGCGAUAAGUAAUGUGAAUUGCAGAAUUCAGUGAAUCAUCGAAUCUUUGAACGCACAUUGCGCCCGCCAGUAUUCUGGCGGGCAUGCCUGUCCGAGCGUCAUUUCAACCAUCAAGCCCCCGGCUUGUGUUGGGGACCUGCGUCCGACGCAGGCCCUGAAAACCAGUGGCGGGCUCGCUGUCCACACCGAGCGUAGUAGCUAACCUCGCUUCGGAGUGGCGCGGGCGCCUGCCGUGAAACCCCCAUCUCACAAGGUUGACCUCGGAUCAGGUAGGAAUACCCGCUGAACUUAAGCAUAUCAAUAAGCGGAGGA